GGCUGGUCCAAUGGCAGUGGGUUAUCAGAACUUAUUAACAUUAGUGUCACUAAAGUUGGUAUACCACGCCCCACUGCUAAAUUUGACUGGCUUUAA
ensembl:misc_RNA Y_RNA Y RNA